rnacentral:misc_RNA from 1 species
GUCAAGCUAUAGAGCAAGAGCUCUCUCUCUCUCUGUCUUUAGUUGAAGUAUUAGAGAAGAAGUAGAAAAAUGGAUGCACCACAAUAUCAAGAGAUGUCUUAUGUUGAGCAUGUCAAACGUCGACGCGAGGAAAAAGGAUGCCUUUAUGCUUGUGUGUUCGCAACGUGUUGCUGCUUCUGUUGCUAUGAGACCUGCGAGUGCUGUCUGGACAUGCUCUGCUGCUGUACUUGAUGUCCAUCCUAGACAUGCCAACCCUGUGUUACUAUGUUAGCAACAUAUUACAAAUUCCCUGUUUUCUCACACUAUGUCUCUUUUGUUACCUUACCUCCCACUCUAUGUUUGAAAACUGUGAAGUUGAAUAAACUUGUGCUUGCUUUUA